rnacentral:lncRNA from 1 species
AUAGUAAUUUCUUCUUCCGGGAGGAGAAUAGCAAGCACAUUACUUUCUCCCAGGACCAGUGAUGUCAAACACACUUCUGGAAAUGUUUGUAUUCUGGGAGCUAUCCUUGGUGCUUUCCUGUUACUCAAGCUAGUAGGGAGAAAUGCUGCUGGUUCUCUUGGAGAGAUGUUGAGCACAAGGGAGAAAGUAUGGGAAUUGAUGCAAGGGUCUGCACAUGCAAUCCUGGGACUGUCGGAGACUGCUGCCAAUUGAUGGACAAAUCUUCCAUUCUCUCCCACCAGAGCAAUCUGCCAUAAAACGUGCUUGUUGGGUUGAGAGGUGUUCAUUUGUAGCUGUCAAAACAGUGGUCAGUGGGCAGCACUGCCUUCAGAGCAUGGUCCAUGCUAGUCAUCUGGGUAGGUGAUGGAUGUGCUGUAGUCCCAGGUACAAUCGCUUUUCUACUUCACGGUGAGUGAAAGUUUGGUGUUAAAUGUCUUUUGGAUACCACUUGGCGAGUCCCUGACACCUCAGGCUCUUCAGAAUUAUGAUUUUGUUGGGGAUAGGGAACAGGGAAAUGCUGAUUGUAUAUAAACGGUACAUGUAGAAUGGUGUCCCUUCAGAGAGCCUUCCAGAAUGUUCUUUAGACUAUUGCUUUACACCAGAGGUGAAGUUGAAAUGGAAAGAACAAAUGCUGAUUUGUUCCUGUGUUUGAAAGAAUGUGAUGGACUUUCAGGGGCUAUAGCUAAAAGUGAAUGUUUCCUUAGGGGUCCCCCAGAAGCAGAGGGAAACAUUGACUUUUUGAGCUCACUGUCAACUCAUACCAGUUAGGGUCCAGAACCAAUCUCCAGCCAAAUACUUAUUUGGAUAUAGGCCCUAAAAGUCCUUCUUAAAAACCAGAUCAUGAAUCUGAGGCUCUUGGUUCCCUUUGAGAAGGAAGGAACAACUUCCAAGAUAAGUGUGCAUCUAUGCACACAUUCAGGAAUGGCUUGCUUGUUUAGUCUUUCUACUUUGUGUGCCUGGGGGGUCUUGGCCCUGCAUGUCAGCAGCAGACACUUCCCAUCUGCUGUCAGCUGCACAGGAUCAAAUGUGCCUCGGCUUAUGUGGAAAACAGCUCAGAAACACAAAACCCACCAAAAGCUCAAAUAUUUUUUCAAUGUUUUCCUACAAGAGCCAAGUAGCACCAUGUACAGAAUAUGCCUUUUUUUUUGGAAAUAUUGAAAUUGCUCUGCAU